rnacentral:piRNA from 1 species
UGGUAGGCAUGCCACCUAGUGUUCUCC